rnacentral:snRNA from 1 species
AGAAGCGGAGGGGCAAUGCCCCAUACUCCCUCAGGUGCACACCACACCUGCUCCCAGGAUGAGAUGCAUCCAUUGCACUCUGGCUGCGCUGACCCCUGCGAUUUCCCCAAAUGUGGGGAAACUCGACUGCAUAAAUUGUGGUAAUGGGGAACUGCAUUCACGCUCUCCCCU